rnacentral:rRNA from 1 species
GGAUUAGAUACCCUGGUAGUCCUUGCCGUAAACUAUGUAUACUUGGUGUAGCCGGAAUCAACCCUGGCUGUGCCGUAGCUAACGCGAUAAGUAUACCGCCUGGGGAGUACGCUCGCAAGGGUGAAACUCAAAAGAAUUGACGGGGACCCGCACAAGCAGUGGAGCAUGUGGUUUAAUUCGAUGCAACGCGAAGAACCUUACCCAGACUUGACAUACAGUGGAAUUUUGUAGAAAUAUAAAAGCUCUUCGGAGCCGCUGAACAGGUGCUGCAUGGCUGUCGUCAGCUCGUGCCG